CUGUUGUGUUUUCACUGUAGCAGAGACAGACGUGAUAUUUCAGGAUACCGAAUUCAGCGAUCCAUCUCAGGUAUAGGGAUAUUUUUGAGUGCUGUCUCAUUAAAAUCACUUACAGUCAGCACCUGAAAACAUCUGCUGGAAUCAUAUUUAGAACCUUAUUCUGGUUUCCUCGGUAACACUAAACAAUAAAUUAAAAAGUAACAGUGUUGUUUUUCUAAAGUAGACGCUGUAACAGAUUAGACAGUUGUUGAAUGGCGAACAUGAAAAAUAUGAUGGAGAUGUUUUGAAGGACAUUAAAGUCAUCUUUCAAAGGAUCCAUGUGCAAUAACCAGCCUCUGAAACACUGCCAUUACGGACACUGAUGCCAGACAAUCUACAAGGGAAGAAUAUUUGUCAACGGCUGUUAGCGUUCAAGGACAAGAAUAAACCCUAAAGUUUAUUUAAAAAACUGUAGAGGACAGAAGAGCCUUGCAAAGUUUGCAAGGGUGCCAUCCUAAAGCAUGCAGAGACCUGAUGUUAAGCCCAUCCGCUCUAAGUUUCUCCCAAAGCUAUGCACCAUAAAACGUGGACCUUUUGGUCACCUUCAUGCCAUCACCAGAACAACUGACCUCAGACUCAACCACCUUUCCGGAGACUUUCAAAACCCAGGACUAAACGCUUGUUUCAUCCAAACCGUAACGGCGACAGAAGUGGUUUGUGGGAUUAAAAGGUAUAAGUGCUCAGGCUGUCUGUGCUACUACAAUGAGCUGGAGCAGCUGAUGGCACACAUAAAGCAGGGCUGGAUAGAAGGCUACAGCUGCAAAGCGACAUGCAGGACUGCAGGGAGUUACUGACCGUAUAUGAAGAAGAAGCUGCUUCUGAAAGCAACCCUCGGCUUAGUGCCUCCUCGACUCUGAGGGAGAGCACCAAAGAUGAGAAGCUGGACAUGGUCCUCAGGUGGCUGCAGGAUGUAACAAUAUAACCACAGUGAAUGAAGGAGAUAGACUGAUUGUCUGAAGUCAUGCCAAGUUGUUGGCAAAAAUUUAAAUUAAAACAUUUAUGGCUGCAUUUGUUGCAGUAUAGAUUUUCUAUAGAGUUUUGCUGAAUGUCUUGGUUGCUUUUUCCCAUACAAUGACAGUGAAUGGGAACAAGCUUCAAAAGGAGCCAUAUAAGUAUCGUAAAAUUGGUCCAUAUGGCUUGUGCACUAUAUUUCAGAUCCUCUGAAAUCAUACAGUAGCUUUAUGUGAGGAAGAGAACAAAAUUUGUCAUUAUUUACUGAUAAACCAUAUUUUACUCUUU